GGGAGCUUGCUCCCAUUUCUCAGCGGCGGACGGGUGAGUAACACGUGGGCAACCUGCCCUACAGACUGGGAUAACUCCGGGAAACCGGAGCUAAUACCGGGUAAUACAUAGCAUCGCAUGAUGCAACGUUGAAAGUUGGCCUUUGGCUAACACUGUAGGAUGGGCCCGCGGCGCAUUAGCUAGUUGGUAAGGUAACGGCUUACCAAGGCCACGAUGCGUAGCCGACCUGAGAGGGUGAUCGGCCACACUGGGACUGAGACACGGCCCAGACUCCUACGGGAGGCAGCAGUAGGGAAUCUUCCGCAAUGGACGAAAGUCUGACGGAGCAACGCCGCGUGAGUGACGAAGGCCUUCGGGUCGUAAAGCUCUGUUGUUAGGGAAGAACAAGUACCGUUCGAAUAGGGCGGUACCUUGACGGUACCUAACCAGAAAGCCACGGCUAACUACGUGCCAGCAGCCGCGGUAAUACGUAGGUGGCAAGCGUUGUCCGGAAUUAUUGGGCGUAAAGCGCGCGCAGGCGGUCUCUUAAGUCUGAUGUGAAAGCCCACGGCUCAACCGUGGAGGGCCAUUGGAAACUGGGGGACUUGAGUGCAGAAGAGGAGAGUGGAAUUCCACGUGUAGCGGUGAAAUGCGUAGAUAUGUGGAGGAACACCAGUGGCGAAGGCGGCUCUCUGGUCUGUAACUGACGCUGAGGCGCGAAAGCGUGGGGAGCGAACAGGAUUAGAUACCCUGGUAGUCCACGCCGUAAACGAUGAGUGCUAGUGUUUGGGGGGGUUCCACCCUCAGUGCUGAAGUUAACACAUUAAGCACUCCGCCUGGGGGAGUACGACCGCAAGGUUGAAACUCAAAGGAAUUGACGGGGGCCCGCACAA
rnacentral:rRNA from 1 species